rnacentral:rRNA from 1 species
GUAAGGAAUAUUGGACAAUGGGCGGAAGCCUGAUCCAGCCAUGCCGCGUGAAGGAUGAAGGCGCUCAGCGUUGUAAACUUCUUUUGGGCGGGAACAAUAAGCUCGGUUCGUCCGGGUCUUGAGGGUACCGUCAGAAUAAGCACCGGCUAACUCCGUGCCAGCAGCCGCGGUAAUACGGAGGGUGCAAGCGUUAUCCGGAAUCACUGGGUUUAAAGGGUGCGUAGGCGGCGCUGUAAGUCAGCCGUGAAAUCGCUGGGCUUAACCCAUGCAAUUGCGGUUGAUACUGUUGCGCUUGAAUGUGGUUGAGGCUGGCGGAAUGCGGCAUGUAGCGGUGAAAUGCAUAGAUAUGCCGCAGAACACCGAUUGCGAAGGCAGCCAGCUGGGCCAAAAUUGACGCUGAGGCACGAAAGCGUGGGGAGCAAACAGGAUUAGAAACCCGUGUAGUCC